rnacentral:rRNA from 1 species
UACGGGGGGGGCAAGCGUUGUUCGGAAUUACUGGGCGUAAAGGGCUCGUAGGCGGCCAACUAAGUCAGACGUGAAAUCCCUCGGCUUAACCGGGGAACUGCAUCUGAUACUGGAUGGCUUGAGUUCGGGAGAGGGAUGCGGAAUUCCAGGUGUAGCGGUGAAAUGCGUAGAUAUUGGGAGGAACACCAGUGGCGAAGGCGGCUCGCUGGACCGGUUCUGACGCUGAGGCGCGAAAGCGUGGGGAGCAAACGGG